AGAGUUUGAUCCUGGCUCAGGACGAACGCUGGCGGCGUGCUUAACACAUGCAAGUCGAGCGGUAAGGCCCUUUCGGGGGUACACGAGCGGCGAACGGGUGAGUAACACGUGGGUGAUCUGCCCUGCACUCUGGGAUAAGCCUGGGAAACUGGGUCUAAUACCGGAUAUGAGCUCCUGUCGCAUGGCGGGGCUGGAAAGGUUUACUGGUGCAGGAUGGGCCCGCGGCCUAUCAGCUUGUUGGUGGGGUAAUGGCCUACCAAGGCGACGACGGGUAGCCGGCCUGAGAGGGCGACCGGCCACACUGGGACUGAGACACGGCCCAGACUCCUACGGGAGGCAGCAGUGGGGAAUAUUGCACAAUGGGCGAAAGCCUGAUGCAGCGACGCCGCGUGAGGGAUGACGGCCUUCGGGUUGUAAACCUCUUUCAGCAGGGACGAAGCGAAAGUGACGGUACCUGCAGAAGAAGCACCGGCCAGCUACGU
rnacentral:rRNA from 1 species